UACGUAGGGGGCAAGCGUUGUCCGGAUUUAUUGGGCGUAAAGAGCGUGUAGGCGGCUUUACAGGUCCGUUGUGAAAACUCGAGGCUCAACCUCGAGACGCCGGUGGAAACCGUAAAGCUAGAGUCCGGAAGAGGAGAGUGGAAUUCCUGGUGUAGCGGUGAAAUGCGCAGAUAUCAGGAAGAACACCCGUGGCGAAGGCGGCUUUCUGGACAGAUACCGACGCUGAGGCACGAAAGCUAGGGGAGCAAACAGG
rnacentral:rRNA from 1 species